rnacentral:rRNA from 1 species
UGGGAAUUUUGGACAAUGGGCGAAAGCCUGAUCCAGCAAUGCCGCGUGUGUGAAGAAGGCCUUCGGGUUGUAAAGCACUUUUGUCCGGAAAGAAAUCCUCUGGGUUAAUACCUCGGGGGGAGUGACGGUACCGGAAGAAUAAGCACCGGCUAACUACGUGCCAGCAGCCGCGGUAAUACGUAGGGUGCAAGCGUUAAUCGGAAUUACUGGGCGUAAAGCGUGCGCAGGCGGUUUUGUAAGACGGAUGUGAAAUCCCCGGGCUUAACCUGGGAACUGCAUUCGUGACUGCAAGGCUAGAGUAUGGCAGAGGGGGGUAGAAUUCCACGUGUAGCAGUGAAAUGCGUAGAGAUGUGGAGGAAUACCGAUGGCGAAGGCAGCCCCCUGGCCAAGUACUGACGCUCAUGCACGAAAGCGUGGGGAGCAAAACAGGAUUAGAUACCCUGGUAGUCCACGCCCUAAACGAUGUCAACUAGUUGUUGGGGGAUUCAUUUCCUUAGUAACGUAGCUAACGCGUGAAGUUGACCGCCUGGGGAGUACGGUCGCAAGAUUAAAACUUAAAUGAAUUGACGGGGUCAUAGCUGUUUCCU